UCUUGGACUGGGGGCAAACAUUGGGGGCUGACGUCAUAAUAACAAUGGCUGAAUCGAGCUCCGCAGCUGACGAUGCUGCGAAUAUAAUCGCCGCGUAUAAUUUACCUGCGUCGUAACAAGUGUACCUAGGUGUGCAGAAGAGACCCCAAGAAGAGAAGAUAUCCUAGAAACACCUGAAGGCGUGUCUCAGUCUCGGAGUCAGAGUUAAAGACACAGGAUAUGACAUGGCAGGAUGCAGCUAAAGCAGCUCUGAAUCGAGUUCGUUGGAGGACUGUCAUCAAUGGCCUAUGUUCCUCAGAGAAGGACAGGCCGAAGUAAGUACAUGAACUAAGUAGCAGAAGAGUGCUCUUUUAACACUGCAUGGAAAUAUAAACAGUAUAUGCCUCAAGUAAAUUUUGAAGAAUCCUAAAUUCAAAUCCAGACUGUGGCAGCCCUACUUGUAGCUGUUGGACUCAUAUGGGAUAACAAUAAUCAAAAAUCACGAUAUCAACACAUAGAUUUUAUCUCAUUUUGACGAAAUGUAGAGAAAUGACAUACAGUCUGUUUUGUGAUAGAAACUAAAAUAGAGAGGGCUUUACAUUGUCCUUUAGAAUUUGCUAGGAAUUUUUUUUUAAUGAACUUUAAAUUACUGCUCAUGUACAUAUUUUUGUUGAAAGAUAAAGUGUACUUAUUUACACCAAUACAAUGAUCAGCUUCAACUAAAUAUCAAAGAUUAACAUUUGCCAUGGAUAUUUUGAUGUUACCAAUUUGACCAAGAUGUUUGCAGAAAAAUCAAAUGCAUGUUUUCUUUCAAAGUUGUUACAAUAAGAGCUAUUAAUAAAAGGAAAAAAAAAACAUUUCACAUGAUAUUAAAACUUGUAUUUUUAUUACAGCUUGAAAAAAUACAUGUAAUAAUCAUGAUAAAUAAUAAAUUUGUACAUGUAUGUAAAAUUGUUUUCAAUUGAGAAUACUUGAACUCUCUUUAGCACUUGAUCCUUGGGAUGUCAUGUGCUAUAUAGGAAUGUGAUUUACCCAGCACAUUUUAAAAUUAAGCUCCUUAGAUCUAGCUGCAGGUCUGUUGAAGAAAUUUCAGGGUGAUGAAGGAAGGGGGGUUCAACUUAAAAGUAAUGUUUUGACAAGCAAAAACAAUGUUCAUAUUAAUAAUUUGGGGGACAAGGCAACUGUAUAGAUAAGAUUUUUGUAUUGUGUGAUGUGCACCGGUAUAUACUAUAGUAUUGUAUCCAUUGGAUUUUAUUACUGAGAGGUACAAAGUAACACUCCAAUCCACAUACAGUAAAACUCGGCUAUAACGAAGUCACUGGGACCCGGAAAAUUACUUUACUUUAACCAUUAUUUGUUCUUUCCGUAUAAAGAAUUUGUUAAAUUUGUGUACUUUGGGAUCCAAGAUAACUUCGCUUUAUCCGUGAAUUCGCAAUA